rnacentral:rRNA from 1 species
UACGUAGGUGGCAAGCGUUGUCCGGAUUUACUGGGCGUAAAGGAUGCGUAGGUCGGACAUUUAAGUCAGAUGUGAAAUACCCGAGCUUAACUUGGGUGCUGCAUUUGAAACUGGGUGUCUAGAGUGCAGGAGAGGUAAGUGGAAUUCCUAGUGUAGCGGUGAAAUGCGUAGAGAUUAGGAAGAACACCAGUGGCGAAGGCGACUUACUGGACUGUAACUGACGCUGAGGCAUGAAAGCGUGGGGAGCAAACAGG